UUUUUCUAGGACUGUGCAUAAAAGCAUUUCUUCAUGGUGUGACCUUUCAAGUACAAUUAUGAUAAUUUAUUAAUAAUUAGGUGGGCUUGUAGAAAGCAUUCACCAAACCAUACUUGCAAUUGAGACAGGUCUUUAUUUGUUGAAACCUGUAUUCACAGACAAGGCUUCUAGUUAAGGUUUUAUGAUAUCUUAAAUUUGAACUUAAAUUCUACAACUAAUAUUCAACAGGUACUUGGGAGAGCAAAUGCACAAAUAAAACAACUGAGGAAGGGGUUAAAGGAGACGGGCAUCUGGCCACUAAUUACUGGGCGACCAGACGUGGUUCCCCAUCUGUUCCCCAGGCAGUCAGACGUGGAACUCACCCCCCAAAUGGUCAUUGAAGCCAUAAAGUGGCCCCUUGCCAAAAAGAAUGAUAGUGAUGACAGCGAAGAUGACAUUGCACCAGCUACAGUCAGCGCCAUUGCAAGGUUUUUUCAAACCUUUGUUGAGCAAGAGCAUCCCCAGACCUUCUGCGG